UACGGAGGGUGCAAACGUUGUUCGGAAUCACUGGGCAUAAAGAGCAUGUAGGCGGUCUAAUUAGUUGGGUGUGAAAUCCCUCGGCUCAACCGGGGAACUGCAUCCAAUACUGUUAGGCUUGAGGAUGGUUGGGGUGAGUGGAACUCCUGGUGGAGCGGUGAAAUGCGUAGAUAUCAGGAGGAACACCGGUGGCGAAGGCG
rnacentral:rRNA from 1 species